rnacentral:rRNA from 1 species
ACUGAAGGCACUACAGUCUCCUGAAUGCAUCGUAUCUCACUUAGUUUUUGGAAGCUAAGCAGAAUCAGGUCUGGUUAGAACAUGGAUGGGAAACCAUCAGGUAAUACCAGAGAUCUUCAGCU